UUUGCCUCCAGAACUCUCAAUAUCCUGUGGAGCAGAUGGAAAACCUCCCCGGAGACACAGAAAAAUAAAUGACUUUUGUUCCUGUGGAUGCCACACAUCAC